UGCGGAAGAUAUAAACAUAAAUUGUUUAUACAUUAAACUUUACACACUAUUUCCCUAAAAUCGAGUAACCUUAACUAAUACACAAUCAUAAACUAUCUAACACAUGACAAAACUAUUCUUCAACCAUACUUUUACAAAUUAGCUGCACAUUCUAUCCCAAGCUGAACUUGGCAUUUUCCUUUUCCUGUAACUGGCCGUAUUCGCCUUAUCUGCAAUGUUUUAUCAUGAUAUAGCAAGGGUGAGCAUGAAAGUUACCCAGCAAGUUUAAAAACAAUGUAAAGAUAUAUCAUGAUUGAAAGAGUUUGAAUAAUAAACUGGCUAUCCUUCACAAUGUAUUUGUGAAUUAGCAUGAACAAAAUUUUGACUAAACAAGUAUUGAACAGGAACAAUAAUAUAUCUGGACCAACUGGUAAUGAAGGUGAUCAGCCUUUCAUACCUGACGCAUACAUGCAAGAUGUAUAGAGUACAAUUAUCCAUGGCAAUCAGCAAUGAUUAACCAUAAGCAUAUCUUGAAUGAAACUACUCUUAAUAGAGUUAAGUAAUAACAAACUUGCCAGUUCCGUUGAUUACCG
rnacentral:lncRNA from 1 species